UCCCGUUUAGCUCAGUUGGUAGAGCGCGUCACUAGUAAUGACGAGGUCAGUCGUUCGAGUCGGCUGAUGGGAA